GGGGCCGGGAAGCCGGAGCUGCGAGCUCUGAAAUCCCAGCCCUGAGCCGGAGCUGCCAGGCUGCCCCGUCUCCCGAAACACACUGCGCUACGCCCGGCUUCCCCGACGGCUCUGCGUCGGCAGUGAAGUAAUGAAGGGUUUAACAAGAGCUUCCUGUUGUGCUGACACCACCGUGAAUGCACAGAGGAGGAAAUGGAGUAAACAGCGCUGCGCUGGUCCCGCCUGGCUGCGAGCAGGGAAAGGCCUCGGCCGUUGCGAGGAGGCCCCAAGGCUGUCACUGCUUAACCCGACCCCGCUGGGGCUGGGGGUGACGUUCUUGUGGCUGCAGAAACCACAAAGCGUCUCGCCCUGCUGGGAAAGCAGCUGCUUUCAGGACUUCCUGAUUUUCAGGGAUUCCCCCCCAAAAAGCCCUUCACCCCCGCCCUCCGCAGGGGCUGUCACCACGCGGCAGUCCGUCCUCCGGCACCGCGGGGCUGGCCCCGCUCUCCUGGGCAAGGUGCUCGCGCCCCGAGCUGGGUGCCCCGAGUUCCUCUCUCAAAGCGCCGCUCUUGCCUUGAGGAAGGAGGAGGAAAUCGGGCCAGAACACACCGAUCUGCUGCCCGGUGGGUUGGUUCGGGUUGAGCAGAGCGGGAGCUGGUGGAGGUGUGGCGUGGAGCAGCUCGCGGUGCCGUGCCGUCCCCCUGGCUCCUCAGCCCGUGUCGGAGCCUUCCCUAGAAUGAGGACCGGGGACGGGUUUUCUCCCAGCUGCAAACUUCCCCUCUUCCUCGUGGGGAAGCAGCAGGUGACGGCCCGCGCUGUGGACCCACGUCUGAGCCGAUCGCGCUCCUGCAGUGGGAAGGAGCGAGGCGCUGCGCGGCCCAGGGCUGGAGGAAGCUCGGCGGGUCCCUGGGGAGCCCGUUGCGUCGCCGAGCCUGGCAGCACAAGGCGGGGAGAGGAGCCUGCGCUUCCAGCUUACGGCUUUCCUGUUGCCCAAGCCAAAGGUCAGCGUGAACUGCCCGAGUCCAAGUGCUGGAAGGACUCUUCACGUAACAAAAGAACCUCCUACCAAUUGUCUUGUUUCCUCGAAAAUCCGCUCGGCGCCCACCAGCGCGAAGGCUUCGCGUCGCGGGGAGCUUGGCAGCACGCGAUGGAGCGCGGUGCCGCCCCCGAGGCGAGGGCAGGAGCCUGCCCCGUGUGUCCCGUGCGCGGGCAGCCGCGCUUGGAGCCGUGCCGCUGCGUGGGGCCGUCCCACCGGUGUGCGGGCAGGGCGAAGGGAAGGCGAGCGAGCGGGGUCUGGUGCCGCCACGGGGGCGGCUGGGGAAGGGAGGGGUCUGAAGCCCACGUGGUUACGCUGGUGCCGAAGCUGGGGGAGCGCUCCCGUCCCGCCGUAAAGGUGUGCCCGUGCAUGUUGCUGACCGUCAGCUCACUAGCGGGGGGGCGGGCUGGGUUUGUACGCGGGCAAGCUCCCGCUGCCGCUCCGGGUGUGCCGGUCACCUUGGCUGUCCUGCAGGAUGUGCUGGCGUUGGGCUCGGACCACCUUGGGUUGCCCGUUGAAUUCCCAGGGUACGAGAAGUGGUUUUUACGCCUUGGAAACUCCGCUGGAUUUCCCUCUUGUGGCAGCUGUGCGGACAGGGUUUUUCUCGGAGCGCUCAGAGUUACCAAAGUGAGGAGCUGCAGCCCAGAGGGCGACUCCUGUCAGCCCCGGGGAGCACGGGGCGCUGCAGACCCAGCGGGAAGGAUUUGGGACUUCAGAAGGUUUUCCUUUCCUCUCGGUCCAGGGAUGGUGUUUGCAGCAGGUGGCUUCGUGGCCAGCUCCCACCCUCUGAAGUAGCCGGCGCGGUCUGCCUGCAAGCUGCAGCCUCGUUCCUCCAGCACCUGGUGCCCUCUGCGCUCCGUGCCCCCGUCAGCGCGUGGCGCCUGUGGCCGUGCGUCGAGCCUGCGUCUCAGGAGGGCUUUUUGUACCGCUGCCGUUCCCAGCACUGGGCUGGGAACUUUUUUUUUGCCCCUUUUCAGCUUCUGUUUUCAUCCUGCAGCUCCUUGCACCCCCGGAUGAGGUCUCCCCACGAGUGCAGAGACCUGCCCUUGCUGCGGGUGCCCCCGCGUAGCGUGGAGGGGAGAUGGAGAGGUCGCGGCUCGAUGGUCAGACGUUGCCACCACCCUCUUGCUGUUCAUGUGCCUCUCUUUGCUGCUUGAGUUUCAACUUCUUAAUUUUGUGAGCACACUUGGCUCCAUUUGCGGCACCGAGGGCCUUUCCUGCUUUCUCAGACCCAGGAGAUUCCCCAGCUGCUGUCCCCAGCGUUUAACACCUCAGCCUCGUCUCCAGCCGGGGGCUUCCUACCCUCUCCCCCGCCACCGGCAGCGCUGCUUCCCUCGGGGGCCGCCGGCGGAGCAGCGUCCCCGUGCUGAGAAGCGGCUGGCGGAGGGAACCAGCUCGCGGGGUGGUUUUGUGCUGGCGCUGAGCCGCAACCCAAGCGGCGGCUGACGCCAAGGAGCGGAGCUGCUGUGCAGGUGACAGCACGUCCCGGGGAAGCUCCGCGGGCCUUCCAGCUGCAGCUCGCCGAGCGAGGAGCCGCGCUGGGAGGACCAUCUCCGCAGGAUGUUCUCGCCACCAAAGAGCUCCCUGUAGCUGGCGACGAUGACAAUCCCGGCGGAGCCUCGGGAAGCACUAACGUUUCAGUAGCCCAGCACCCGUGGGUG